CUAUACGGCGAAACUGCGAACGGCUCAUUAUAUAAGUUAUCGUUUAUUUGAUAGCACCUUGCUACUUGGGUAACCGUGGUAAUUCUAGAGCUAAUACAUGCUAAAAAUCCCGACUCCGGAAGGGAUGUGUUUAUUAGAUUCAAAACCAAUGCCCCCUGGGCUCACUGGUGAUUCAUGAUAACCGCUCGAAUCGCACGGCCUUGCGCUGGCGAUGGUUCAUUCAAAUUUCUUCCCUAUCAACUUUCGAUGUUUGGGUAGUGGCCAAACAUGGUUGCAACGGGUAACGGAGGGUUAGGGCUCGACCCCGGAGAAGGAGCCUGAGAGACGGCUACUACAUCCAAGGAAGGCAGCAGGCGCGCAAAUUACCCAAUCCCGACACGGGGAGGUAGUGACAAUAAAUACCGAUAUAGGGCUCUUUUGGGUCUUAUAAUUGGAAUGAGUACAAUUUAAAUCCCUUAACGAGGAACAAUUGGAGGGCAAGUCUGGUGCCAGCAGCCGCGGUAAUUCCAGCUCCAAUAGCGUAUAUUAAAGUUGUUGUGGUUAAAAAGCUCGUAGUUGAACCUUGGGCCUGGCUGGCCGGUCCGCCUCACCGCGUGCACUGGUCCGGCCGGGCCUUUCCCUCCGCGGAACCCCAUGCCCUUCGCUGGGCGUGGCGGGGAAACGGGACUUUUACUUUGAAAAAAUUAGAGUGCUCCAGGCAGGCCUAUGCUCGAAUACAUUAGCAUGGAAUAAUGAAAUAGGACGCGCGGUUCUAUUUUGUUGGUUUCUAGGACCGCCGUAAUGAUUGAUAGGGACAGUCGGGGGCGUCAGUAUUCAACCGUCAGAGGUGAAAUUCUUGGACCGGUUGAAGACUAACUACUGCGAAAGCAUUCGCCAAGGAUGUUUUCAUUAAUCAGGAACGAAAGCUAGGGGAUCGAAGACGAUCAGAUACCGUCGUAGUCUUAGCCAUAAACUAUGCCGACUAGGGAUCGGGGGAUGUUAUUCUGUGACUCGCUCGGCACCUUCCGAGAAAUCAAAGUGCUUGGGCUCCA
rnacentral:rRNA from 1 species